CUGUUACGUCGCUGUAGAAAAAUCUUUAUUGGAUAGUUUAUUUUUGGGUGCCUUGCAUAGUGGUGAUCGCAGUAACUUAAUUAUUUAUUCACAUUUUUUUUUCUAUUAUUUAUUUUAAUUUGUCAUUUCCAGAGUAGUUUUGUUUCGGCUUCUAUUUCAUUUCAGAAGAGCGAGUGAAGCUUGGUGUAACGCCAUGGAAGGAACCUCAGCCUAGUGACACUGACGGAGCAGAGUAGUUUGGUGGCAUGCCGUGGAGAGAGCCCCUGUAAUACCUACGUUAAGUGCCGUGCCUCUGUUCUAGUUUGUAUUACUUCAGAGAAACAAAGAUCUAGGAUUCUGUUCUGGCUAGUUGUCCAUACUCAACGAAGAAAGACGACAGCGGAGACGAGAGUAGAAGGCGUGUAGGAGUGAGCCAGCCAGCCAGCCAGCCAAGACGCCUCGCCUCGCCUCCACCUGUCACCAGCCAUGCCGUGUUGUCUUCCCGUCCUCCAACAUGACCAAAACAUUGGAGUACAGGAGAAAUCGAAGAUAAGAGGGAAACCCAGAGAUUAAGGAUUUAAGGAGAGGAGAGAUGUGUACCACGAUGCUGAGGGAGAGAAGAUUCAUCCAUCAGUCAUCCUGCUGGCUCUGUGUGGUCUGCUGAGGAAGAGAGAAGAUUGGUCCUGCUGCUUCUGUCUAUUGUCUGUCUGUCUGUGAGUGAACCGGAGUGUAAGUCUCAGUGUGGCUGGCCGUGGUGCUGGUACAUGAGCUGUUGUGUGUUGUAAGUCCUCGGACUCCCCAACUAUCAUGGUUAUUGGUUUGGUUUUUUUUUUUUAAUAAAACUUUUUGCUGGUGAAAGUGUGUU